rnacentral:rRNA from 1 species
AGCAGUGGGGAAUUUUGGGCAAUGGGCGAAAGCCUGAUCCAGCAAUGCCGCGUGAGUGAAGAAGGCCUUCGGGUUGUAAAGCUCUUUUGUCAGGGAAGAAACGGUGAGAGCUAAUAUCUCUUGCUAAUGACGGUACCUGAAGAAUAAGCACCGGCUAACUACGUGCCAGCAGCCGCGGUAAUACGUAGGGUGCAAGCGUUAAUCGGAAUUACUGGGCGUAAAGCGUGCGCAGGCGGUUUUGUAAGUCUGAUGUGAAAUCCCCGGGCUCAACCUGGGAAUUGCAUUGGAGACUGCAAGGCUAGAAUCUGGCAGAGGGGGGUAGAAUUCCACGUGUAGCAGUGAAAUGCGUAGAUAUGUGGAGGAACACCGAUGGCGAAAGCAGCCCCCUGGGUCAAGAUUGACGCUCAUG